rnacentral:rRNA from 1 species
CCUACGGGUGGCAGCAGUAGGGAAUUUUCGUCAAUGGGCGCAAGCCUGAACGAGCAAUGCCGCGUGAACGAGGAAGGUCUUCGGAUCGUAAAGUUCUGUUGAAGGGGAAAAGAGCGGAGAGAGGAAAUGGUCUCCGAUUGAUAUUACCCUUCGAGGAAGUCACGGCUAACUACGUGCCAGCAGCCGCGGUAAUACGUAGGUGGCGAGCGUUAUCCGGAAUGAUUGGGCGAAAAGGGUGCGUAGGCGGCCUGCUAAGUCUAGAGUGAAAGGUACCGGCUCAACCGGUACAGGCGCGGGAAACUGGCGGGCGAGAGAGCAGGAGAGGGCGGUGGAACUCCAUGUGUAGCGGUAAAAUGCGUAGAUAUAUGGAAGAACACCAGUGGCGAAGGCGGCCGCCUGGCCUGUUACUGACGCUGAGGCACGAAAGCGUGGGGAGCAAAUAGGAUUAGAUACCCCAGUAGUC